rnacentral:rRNA from 1 species
UUCCGGUUGAUCCUGCCGGAGGUCACUGCUAUUGGGAUUCGACUAAGCCAUGCGAGUCGAGAGGGUUCGGCCCUCGGCGAACUGCUCAGUAACACGUGGAUAAUUUGCCCUUAGGUGGAGGAUAACCUCGGGAAACUGAGAAUAAUAUUCCAUAGAUCUAGGAUGCUGGAAUGUACUUAGAUUAAAAGCUCCGGUGCCUUAGGAUGAGUCUGCGGACUAUCAGGUUGUAGUCAGGGUAAUGACCUGACUAGCCUACGACGGAUACGGGUUGUGAGAGCAAUAACCCGGAGAUGAUAUCUGAGACGCGAUAUCAGGCCCUACGGGGCGCAGCAGGCGCGAAAACUUCACACUGUGCGAAAGCGCGAUGAGGGAAUCCCAAGUGUAUGCACGUAAGUGUAUACUGUUUCUAUGUUUAAAACGCAGAGAGAGUAAGGGCUGGGUAAGACGGGUGCCAGCCGCCGCGGUAAUACCUGCAGCUCUAGUGGUGAUCAUUAUUAUUGGGCCUAAAACGUCCGUAGCCGGUUUAGUAAAUGCCUGGGUAAAUUGUGUAGCUCAACUAUACAACUUCCGGGUAGACUGCUGAACUUGAGACCGGGAGAGGUUAGAGGUACUCCUGGGGUAGAGGUGAAAUUCUGUAAUCCUGGGGGGGACCACCAGUGGCGAAGGCGUCUGACCAGAACGGGUCUGACGGUGAGGGACGAAGCCCUGGGGCGCAAACCGGAUUAGAUACCCGGGUAGUCCAGGGUGUAAACGCUGCUUGCUUGAUGUUAGUCGGGCUCCGAGCCCGAUUAGUGUCGGAGAGAAGUUGUUAAGCAAGCUGCCUGGGAAGUACGGUCGCAAGACUGAAACUUAAAGGAAUUGGCGGGGGAGCACAGCAACGGGUGGAGCGUGCGGUUUAAUUGGAUUCAACGCCGGGA